rnacentral:lncRNA from 1 species
GCGGCAGCUGGGUGGCAGCGCCCCCUGGGGACAGGCGCUGGGAUCUCAGGCGGCCAAGAGGAUGGCCGCCUGCCGCCCACACUUGGUAGCUGCCAACAAAGUUAGAAAAGUAGUUCGUGGAGCUUUUCGCGAGGACAAUUCAUUAUGAUUCUGUCACCCUGCUCCAAAACCCACUCCCGCCUCUCUACUCACACCCUGCCCAUUCUUGAAGUGGUGGUUCAAGCACAGACUGAGAGGAUUAUUGCGGAUGUCUUGAGCAUGGGACCAUUCUUUUUGCAUCCACCAAAUAACUAUUGUACUACUUUGCAUAUAUAAAUAUGAAAUCCAUACUGGUUCAGUGGAAUGAAGUGAGUUGACAUCUUCUAUUACAAAAUCUACGAGGAAAUCUAGAGGCCUCCAAGGACCUGGCUGGGCUUCAACUCUGGCUGAGUUUGAGAUGAGUAAACCAGACUGAAGGACCUUGCCCAAGGCCUGCUUCAGCUGCCAGCCACCCACACUUGCUAAGAGAAAGGAAAGGAGCUUUGUCACCUCCUGAGGGACUGCCUCUGCCAUCAGAAAACCACCCCAAUCCCUGGCACCAGCAGAGCUGGGUUGCAUCUGACUACCGUUAGCAGCUGUCCUUCAGAAGGAGGAGAUCCACCUGUCUCGAUAUCAGUGUCCUCAUUUGUGGAAUAAAAGCUCUGGAAUAAGAUCCACCCUGAUUUCAGCGGGCGUUCCUGGGUCUUGUAUGCACUAGGUGCCCUCAAUGCUUGGCAACUGGAAUGGGUUAGCCUGGAGGCAUUUAGGCUGUCCUUCUACAACCACAGAAGAGCCAUCACUGGCAGAGAGAUCCUUGGCGCAGUUAAGCAGAGAUCUUCUCAGAAGAGCUUUUGAAUAAAUGAAGUUGUUCAGAAUGGCCUUGUUAAAAUGACUCACUUGUCAAAAAACUAGAUGUGUUGGAAGGCUGGGUUGGAAGACAAGAUGUCUGAGAAGCUGUCCUGCUGCAUGAGGAGUUUCAUUGCUACACACCUAGUCUCUGGGUCCUGUGUUUUUGGCCUCCAGCUUACUUCGUGAACAUAAUAAAGGAAAGGCAUUUUCUCUUGUGCAUGCUAUGUGUGCAUGUGUGUAUG